rnacentral:rRNA from 1 species
AACUCAAAGGAAUUGACGGGGGAGCACCACAACGGGUGGAGCUUGCGGUUUAAUUGGAUUCAACGCCGGAAAUCUUACCGGGACCGACAGCAAUAUGAAGGCCAGGCUGAAGACUUUGCCGGAUUAGCUGAGAGGUGGUGCAUGGCCGUCGUCAGUUCGUACUGUGAAGCAUCCUGUUAAGUCAGGCAACGAGCGAGACCCACGCCCACAGUUGCCAGCGUACUCUCUGGAGUGACGGGUACACUGUGGGGACCGCCGCUGCUAAAGCGGAGGAAGGAAUGGGCAACGGUAGGUCAGUAUGCCCCGAAUAUCCCGGGCUACACGCGAGCUACAAUGGUUGGUACAAUGGGUAUCUACCCCGAAAGGGGACGGGAAUCUCCUAAAACCAAUCUUAGUUCGGAUUGAGGGCUGCAACUCGCCCUCAUGAAGCUGGAAUCCGUAGUAAUCGCGUUUCAACAGAACGCGGUGAAUACGUCCCUGCUCCUU